rnacentral:rRNA from 1 species
UGCUAACGUCCGUCGUGGAGAGGGAAACAACCCAGACCGCCAGCUAAGGUCCCAAAUUACUACUAAGUGGGAAACGAUGUGGGAAGGCUCAGACAGCCAGGAUGUUGGCUUAGAAGCAGCCAUCAUUUAAAGAAAGCGUAAUAGCUCACUGGUCGAGUCGGCCUGCGCGGAAGAUGUAACGGGGCUAAGUAGUAAACCGAAGCUGCGGCAAUACUCUUUGAGUAUUGGGUAGGGGAGCGUUCUGUAAGCGGUUGAAGGUGUGUGGUAACGCAUGCUGGACGUAUCAGAAGUGCGAAUGCUGACAUGAGUAACGAUAAAGGGGGUGAAAAACCUCCUCGCCGGAAGACCAAGGGUUCCUGUCCAACGUUAAUCGGGGCAGGGUAAGUCGACCCCUAAGGCGAGGCCGAAAGGCGUAGUCGAUGGGAAACGGGUUAAUAUUCCCGUACUUCUUACAAUUGCGAUGGGGGGACGGAGAAGGCUAGGUGGGCCUGGCGACGGUUGUCCAGGUUCAAGUGCGUAGGCUUAAGAGUUAGGUAAAUCCGGCUCUUUCUAAGGCUGAGACACGACGUCGAGCACCUACGGGUGUGAA